ACAGUUCGGUUACAUCUCAAACUCAUGCCACCAUGCAAAGGGUCCUGAAGAGGCUGUUUGGCUCUCUGCUGGGGCUUCUGUGUGCCCUGACCUGCUGUGUGACAGGGUUCCAGGUGGAGCAGAGGCCUCCAACGCUGAGUAACCAAGAGGGCGCCAGUUCCACACUGCAAUGCAAUUUCUCUGCCUCCGUGACCUCAGUGCAGUGGUUUCGUCAAACUCCUGGCGGACGCCUCGUCAACCUGUUUUAUGUUCCUGUGGGAACAAAGCAGCAUGGAAGACUAAGCUCCACCACAGUCACUCAGGAACGCCGCAGCUCAUUGCACAUUUCCUCUUCCCAGACCACAGACUCAGCCACUUAUCUUUGUGCUGCCAGCCACAGUGUUCCCUGAGCACCUGUCGCCCCUACACAAACCUCUAGACAAACCCUCCAUCUCAAGCAUAUCAAGAGGCUAGCCCACAAGCCUUUG